GAUGUAAAUAUAUUAUCUAAUGGAGGUGAUCGACUAGUGAAAGUCAUCGAAUACGUCGUUUGAUGCAUAUUCGAUCAUCAUAUUCUCCGUGUCCUUGGAGUCAUGUGGUAGAUGGAAUUUCUCGGUGUUGCUUGGUUCUUCUUGAACAUCUUGCGAACAUCCAGCUUCCAUGUUAUUACCAGGUUGAAGAUUGAAGUGGGCUUCAUAUCUUGCUCCUUGG
rnacentral:lncRNA from 1 species